rnacentral:rRNA from 1 species
GAUGAACGCUGGCGGCGUGCCUAAUACAUGCAAGUAGAACGCUGAAGGAAGGAGCUUGCUCUUUCCGGAUGAGUUGCGAACGGGUGAGUAACGCGUAGGUAACCUGCCUGGUAGCGGGGGAUAACUAUUGGAAACGAUAGCUAAUACCGCAUAACAGUAGAUAUUGCAUGAUAUCUGCUUGAAAGGGGCAAUUGCUCCACUACCAGAUGGACCUGCGUUGUAUUAGCUAGUUGGUGAGGUAACGGCUCACCAAGGCGACGAUACAUAGCCGACCUGAGAGGGUGAUCGGCCACACUGGGACUGAGACACGGCCCAGACUCCUACGGGAGGCAGCAGUAGGGAAUCUUCGGCAAUGGACGGAAGUCUGACCGAGCAACGCCGCGUGAGUGAAGAAGGUUUUCGGAUCGUAAAGCUCUGUUGUAAGAGAAGAACGAGUGUGAGAGUGGAAAGUUCACACUGUGACGG